AUAGAGACUCAGAGCUGCAUAUCAAUAAGCGGAGGAAAAGAAACUAACAAGGAUUCCCUUAGUAACGGCGAGUGAAGCGGGAAGAGCUCAAAUUUGAAAUCUUCAAGGUUUUACCUUGACGAAUUGUAGUUUAAAGAAGUGUUUUCUGUUAGUGGAGUGGCAAAAGUUCUUUGGAAUAGGACAUCAUAGAGGGUGAGAAUCCCGUAUUUGGUCAUUCCUCCUAGCGUUGUGAUACACUUUCAACGAGUCGGAUUGUUUGGGAAUGCAGUCCAAAAUGGGUGGUAAAUUUCAUCUAAAGCUAAAUAUUGGCGAGAGACCGAUAGCGAACAAGUACCGUGAGGGAAAGAUGAAAAGAACUUUGAAAAGAGAGUUAAACAGUACGUGAAAUUGUCAAAAGGGAAGCGUUUGACACCAGUGUUGUUUUUCCGAAAAUCAAUUGACGAAUGUUUUAUUUUUGAGGAGUUAUGACUUCAUCGGCUUGCUUCUUUCUUUACUGAAACUUUCUUAAUGCACUUUUCGGUUACAAGUCAACAUCAAUUUCUUUUGUUGUAAAAGAGUAUGAGGAAGGUGGCUUUCUUUUCGGAGAAAGUGUUUAUAGCCUUGUACCUUCUGCAAUCGGAGAGAUUGAGGUCUGCAGCGUAGAUCCUUCGGGGUUAGAUACACUUUGUGCUAAGUUAUUAGCUUUUCAUAGACAACUUGUUGACUAUGUUAGUCUUGUAGCUUACCUCGCUUAUGCUAUUUUACCUACGCUUAGGAUGUUGAUAUGCAUGACUGAUAU
rnacentral:rRNA from 1 species